rnacentral:lncRNA from 1 species
GACCGUCCUGUCAUAGAAGAGCCUCCACCUUGAGCUAAUGACCUCUUCCACUUAUAGCCAUAAGGAGUUGGUCCUUUAAUCAGAUUCCUGCUAAAAGUCACAUUCCUUGACUUCUUCUUUUCAGCUUCCUUAACCGACUUCUCUGCUCCUUUCCUAGACUUCCUUCUCUUCCCUUGGCACCUUCACUUCAGCCUUUGUGACCUUGACUUGAAGGUAGUAGAUCCCUUCAUGAUACUCACCU